GGUACUCUGGGUUCAAUCCUCAGUACCACCAAACCAAAAUGAAAAACUCAGUGGAGAUUUUUUUUUUUUUUAAUAGUUACUACACACAUGCACCUUUGAAGUAGCUCAGUUUAUUAUAUGACACGAAUACCUAGAUAAUGGGGGAAACAGUGCAUUCCGGUGAAGAAGUGGCCUGGGACUGAAAUAAAUGGAAAUUUAAGAGUGACUGCAGUAGAGUGUCAUAUGAUUGCAUGAAAAGUUAGAAACCAGUUGAAUUCCAGGUGGGAAGUAUGACUGGGGAACCCUGAUAAAGCUGAUGGAUGGCCUUCUGCUGUGGAGAGUGAAACACAGCUGGAAUUGGAAUAAUCUGGUGUCCUGUAGUUGCAUUGGCUGCUACGAAUCUGAAUAAAUUGAAUUAUGUGGAAAGAAGAAAUUGACAAUCCUAUAAAUCCUACCCUUACAGGAAUUGGAGAUAAAAUUAGGCCUUAGACUCAGCCCUGACAAGCAGGGCUGCGUGUACCCCUGGAUUUCACUGAGUAAUCUUGCAUAUUCCCUCCUCUUCAAGGCCUUUCUGUCCAGGAGAGGGGCCAGCUGGUCAGCAAACUCAGAGCAAAUCCAGGUUGUAUGGUCUCCCCUCCAGUUAGGGAGCAGAAAAAGGCACACUUGGAAACUCCUGGGUCAAAGUUUGAAGGGAUUGCUUUAAGGGACUCAGGACCUAGAAAUAUCCACAGAAAUGGCAAAAUCCAUUAUUUUUAUCUUUUGUGGAUAGAGCUGGUCUUUGGAACUGAUUCUGUGGAAUGUUAAUCUACAGCCAUGUGGUUUGGCCCAAGGCUCAUUCCCCUGGUCCCCCUGCCCAUUCCCAGGAAUGGCCUCCCCACUCCAUGGUCAUGGCAGGUUCAGAAAAUCAGACCCAGUUUCACCUUAGCCCUGAUCUUGCUCUUGCUCUUCCUGCUGGGGUACUCUACGCAUCCUCACACAUUCUCCCCAUGUGAAUCCGCUCCCCCUCCCCAAGGCCCAGCUCCACAGUCCCUUCUUCCAUUGAAGUCAUCUUUCCUGCUGGUUCCCCUGACAUACCCUGUGUGCACCUCUGUUACUUACAAUAUAUGAUAUUCAUGGUGAGUUGAACUCCCUACUCCCCCACUUGUCAUGAGCACCUGGAUAACCCAGAUACUACCCACCUCACCCCACCCGCUGCCAGCCUUCCAAGCCUGCACCCUCUUGCUUUUUUUUGGCCAGUGCCUUGGAGAAUUCUCCCCUGAAAAGCCUGCUUCUGCUUGGCAGAUUGCAGUACCACAUCACAGAGAUUAUCCUGGGGUGGAAGUGAUCUAGGAGGGCUUUUCUCACGCAGGACACAGCAGACAACUUUAACCAAGAUGCAGGGUGCACAGAUGAGCCACCAAGGAUCAGAAACCCAACCAAUGCCUGUGUAUUAAAUAAUUCUAGAGCAAUGCUGGGGAUGGGGAUUGGAGACCUGAGGCCCUGAAAUGAUUGAAACUUAGUUUCCACCCUGGCAGAAUGGAAGUAAAAAUUAAAAAUAGAUUCAGUUACUGAAAAUAAUUUUUCCUUUCAGAACAGAGUGCUGUGGACUGAGAUUCAUGUCACUACAGUCUUAAAGCAAUAGUGUCAACCCUGCCCCAUUAUCCUUCAUCAGCCACUCCGUCUAUCCCCUUGCCUUACCACUCUGCAUUAGUUGUUCAGAAUUUUCACAUUACCUUUAUUUAGUUAUUUUUCUAUAUUAACUUUAAUAGCAAAAAUAAAUCUGGUAUUUUAAUUGGAGUAGGUCUGGGGGAAGCACAGGGGGGAGGUACCCAGAGUGGAACCCAGGCUGGUCCUUGCACAUGCUAAGAAGGCUGUCCACCACUCCAGCCCCUUGGGGUGUGUCUUAAAGUUGAUUGUAUCAACAGAAAAAUGUACUGUUUGAUAAAGCGAGCAUAUCAGGAGACAAAUGCCAUGAAAAGUUAAUUGUUAGAGUUGGAGAGUAGAAGGCACUUCACACCACACCUCACAGGGCUGCAGGAGGCACCACAAAGGCUGGUCUCAGAACUAAUGGGCUGAGGCUUUUAUUGCAGGAAGAAAGAUGAAGGAUAGGCUCCAGGGUGGUGUGGGGCUGUCUCUGUCCACUUGUGGCCCUGGGGUAAUUAAGGCAGGAGAAAAGUGGCCCAGAAAGUGGGAACCUGAUAAAGAGGGAGGCUGGAGUUUUUGUUUGUUUGUUUGUUUGUUGGGUCUGGAUUGGUUAGUUUGCAUAUGAAAAGCAAGAAUUCCAAAAAAGAAAAAGACCUGGUUAAUAGUAUUGACAGAAUAUUCAUAUAACCAUGAGAUGGAUAAUUGGAGAACUGGAUCUUAAGAUAUUAUUUGUAUUCAAGAAUAAAGAAUCUUUAUUGAAACUGUUUCUUCGGGGAAAGUGCUCAUCAUAUUUGCUCUACUCUUCUAUUUAAUUUGUUCCUAGAAGUGAAUCUGUUUCAUUGCUGUUGUAAAUACAUUAUCAACUUCCAUUAUGUUGUAUAUGUAGCUAUUGUUUGCAUAUUUUGAGUAUUGAAGUCUAUACCUAACCUCUUUUUCCUUUUUUUUACCUAGUGGCAUUGGCCACUACUUCCAGAACAAUUCUCAAUGAUAUUGGUGGGCAUGCACUAUUUUCCUUCUGGGUGUUAUUAGAAUCAGCAUAUCUUUUAUCUACUUUCCUCCUUGAGGAGGAGGAAAAUGAAGAGGAAAAAAUGACAAGAAAACCUCCCCAGGAGGAUUUCCUGAGGUUCCAGGACUGGAAUGUUAUCAUGGUUUGGAUCUUAAAUGUCUCUCAAAGUCUUAUAUGUUAAAGGCUUGGUUGCCACAUGCUGUUGGAAGAUGGUGGAACCUUUAAAAGGUGGGGCAUAAUUGGAAGAAGUUAGGUCACUGGGGACGCCUCCAUGAAGGAGACCUGGAACUCUGGCCCUCCCUCUGUCUUUGCUUCCUAGCUGCUAUAAAGUGAGCAGCUUCGCUCCAGCACACACUCCCCGCGGUAAUGUCCUGCUUCACCACAGACCCCAAACCAAUAGAGCCAAAUGACCAUGGAUCAAAACCUCUGGAACCAUGAGCUAAUAAGCCUUUCUGUUAAGUCUUCUGUGGUAUUUUGUCACAGCAACAAUGAAAUCUAACAAAUGUCUUCCCCAAAGGUACAUAACAAGAUCAGAAAAAAGUACCUACUGUUUCCAAGGUGGGGCAACUGCAAUAACAGGUGAUUUCUUGGCCACUUGAUUAUUGCUAGGCAAUUGCUUUUUUACCUAAACUGCCUUCCUUCAACACAUUGAGACCAAGGAUGCCUUCCCCUGGGUUUUCACCUUCACCAUCAGGCCAGCUUUCACUUGGUGUCAGCAGAAGGUGACCUCCUCCUCUCCCCUUCUCCCACUGGUGGGGGCACCAUUGUGGAGGGGCACCACUUUAGUCAGGGUGCUAGGAGAGGCAGAUGAGAUUAAACGGUAAGGUGACCGUGAGAGGAAACAGGGAAGGAGCUGAGACUGUCUGGGUGAGCCCUCAGAUGCCCAGGCAGAUCAGACCACGGUGGGGGAGUGUUAGGAUGGCCUUAGGCCUGAGCCUCAGCAACUCCAUUUUAACUUCAUUUUAAAAGACCUGCAGUUUCACCAGGCACAUCCACAGAUCCCUCCAGUAUGGCCUCAAACAAGUUACUUCCCUUCACCCUGAUAAAAGAGAGUGAAGCCCCUGGCAGGCUGUCCUCACCUGAUAAGAGGGAAAGGCGAGAAGAUCAGGGUGGAGACCACCAGACCAGAUGUUUCUGACCUCAGAGUAAAUGAUGUCACUGAGAAAUCUGAUGGUAGCUGAUAAGGAUUGAAAGGGGGGUUAAAAGCCCCAAAAUUUAGUAUAAAUGAUAAAGCCAAUGAACAGGGAUUCAGCCAGCCGAAACAAGAAUGCACUCCAGCUGGAGAGCCUGAUGAGGACCUGACAUCCCAUCAGUUGUCAUCGUUUCUGAGCCUCUGCGUGAUCCACACUGCUCUCAAACUCUACCGCCUUGUCUGGACUUUGGUGAGAGCUGCAACUCCUCCAAGGACCCCCUCCUUCUGCUCCACACCAGGAAAAGCCUGCCUUGGUUCCGGACCUGAUUACCGAGGUCUGAGUGUGCAUCUGCUGGACUCAAAGCCUAAGACUUAAGACCUUUGAACUUAGCAUGCAGAGGGAAUGUCAGUCAUUAGCCUAUAUGAUUAAGUGUGUUUUGCAGUGCUUAGAAUUAAUCUAGAAUUGUUUGCUGUGAAUUGAUUAUGUCUACUACAGUGCCUAGCAUUAAGGAUUGUUGUUUUCUUGAUUAAGAACCUAUAGAGUGAAACUGUAUUGAGUAAUUUGAGUGAAUAAAGCAUUCAAAGGGACAGAAGCGCGUGGACAUAUUUCUCCCCUCUACUGCAUACGUCGCAAUUUUGCCCCCUCGCGACAGGGAGGAAGCCUGCAUGCAGCCUAGGAAGACUUGGCAAGGCCAUGGGAGUUCCUGCCUUCCAGAAACGAAC
rnacentral:lncRNA from 1 species